UGCAAGUCGAGCGGACAGAUGGGAGCUUGCUCCCUGAUGUUAGCGGCGGACGGGUGAGUAACACGUGGGUAACCUGCCUGUAAGACUGGGAUAACUCCGGGAAACCGGGGCUAAUACCGGAUGCUUGUUUGAACCGCAGGGUUCAAACAUAAAAGGUGGCUUCGGCUACCACUUACAGAUGGACCCGCGGCGCAUUAGCUAGUUGGUGAGGUAACGGCUCACCAAGGCAACGAUGCGUAGCCGACCUGAGAGGGUGAUCGGCCACACUGGGACUGAGACACGGCCCAGACUCCUACGGGAGGCAGCAGUAGGGAAUCUUCCGCAAUGGACGAAAGUCUGACGGAGCAACGCCGCGUGAGUGAUGAAGGUUUUCGGAUCGUAAAGCUCUGUUGUUAGGGAAGAACAAGUACCGUUCGAAUAGGGCGGUACCUUGACGGUACCUAACCAGAAAGCCACGGCUAACUACGUGCCAGCAGCCGCGGUAAUACGUAGGUGGCAAGCGUUGUCCGGAAUUAUUGGGCGUAAAGGGCUCGCAGGCGGUUCCUUAAGUCUGAUGUGAAAGCCCCCGGCUCAACCGGGGAGGGUCAUUGGAAACUGGGGAACUUGAGUGCAGAAGAGGAGAGUGGAAUUCCACGUGUAGCGGUGAAAUGCGUAGAGAUGUGGAGGAACACCAGUGGCGAAGGCGACUCUCUGGUCUGUAACUGACGCUGAGGAGCGAAAGCGUGGGGAGCGAACAGGAUUAGAUACCCUGGUAGUCCACGCCG
rnacentral:rRNA from 2 species